GUCUGUCUUAUCCAUAAUGUAUCUAUCUGUUUAAUUAUUAGCUGAGAUUCAGCGUGUAGACAAUGCCUUCUGUGGCCUGAAUUGAUAAAGGGCAUAGUGCGGUUUAAAGGUUAUAUCUAUCGCACAGUUUAAUGCAUUGGGUUCUAUUUCUUGGACCUUUAUUGAACGAUUUAUAUUUUAGAAUAUGCAUUUUUGGGGGUAUUUGUAAGCCAUAAAUCUGCUAGAAAAAUGAAAAUUUUGAUCUGGGAGGGAUUACAUAUGUUAGCUUUUUUUUUUUUUUUUUAACAACGAAAAGCAAUAAUCGAUUGUAAAAAGUUACAACGAUUAAAGGGAGCAAGAGAAAAUGGCAUCGCAAUGAGAAGGUAACAUUCCAACCAGGUUGGUACCCUAUCCCUCGACAUUUGUUGGGAGUAGCAUUUUUUAUUGCAUGUUUUAGUCGCGAGGCAAUUUGCACCCGUUACAAGGACGUCUGAUAGGAGCCUCGCAUGUAUUUUUCGGGGUAAUUUCAGGCUAGAUAUACGUUGGAAAACACAAAUUUGGGUACCGGUUUGUGAUGGAUUACAUUUGUUAGUAGUUUUUUUCUACUUGUGUUUUGGUUUCAACAUAUGGCAUAGGCACCAACAGGCUGUAUGUUUAAGUCAUAUGGCUAUUUGCAUGAGUUGGCGUGGAUGUCUGAGAGGAGCCUCAUAUUGUGGAGUUUUAGCCUUGGUCUUUUCUACUGUGCUGUGCACCAGCCGCAUAUCACCAUCCCCGGGUCCCUUGCAUAGUGAGGGUUUUUAUUGGCAAGGUGAACAAGCAUCUCAUGGGUAAGCAGGGGUGAAGGCAGUGAAGAUCAGUACUUGUAAAGAAUGCAGAUUUGAUUCCUCUAGUAUUGCAGCAAAGGAACUCCUUUCUGGAAGAUGGUGGACUUCUUCAUACAAUCAGUUUUGGAAGGAUCAUGGUGGAGUCUGGUCAGACAGGAUCAGGCCUGUAAUUAUUUGGUAUAUCCGGAACGAAAGGCUGCAAGAAGAAGUCUUGCACACAAAAGAAUCACGUACGUGCCCUUGGUACGAGAUUGAAUGGUUCUUUCCGGAGGGGUUCGUUUCACCUUCCGACAAGUAGUUUGGUUUUUCGACUUAAGAGAUGUAUCGAGUAGACAGUCUCAACCAACUACUUCUACCGAGAGAUUGAUUCACGUUACUCAAACUAUAACAAUACAGGAGUUAUAAUCCCUCAACAGUUGGGUGUCUGGCCAAUUUUUUCCCCCCGCUGAUGGUGAGGCCGGGUCGAACCUGUGAGAUUGCAGGAGCAAGUCCUUCACUUGGUGUCAUGCUUCUGCUCGACCAACCUGUUGAUCAUCCCACACAUCUUUCAUCACCUUAUUUUUGUUCUAUAAUGAGGGUCACAAGAAAUCCAAAGAGAUUGGUCUAUUGUGGAUAAGCUCGUGAUCAUCUUACACUUCCUUCAUCACCUUACUUUUGUUUCACUUUUUUGUAAUUCACACAUUAAAAAAUAAAAACCCUAGGUAGACUAACUCCCUCCAUUAUUUGUGCAAUCUUUUCAGUCUUUGUUUUAUGUUAUAUAUUAUACUGGUAUCAUGCCAAAUCUUUGGUGCAAUGCAUAAUACUAUAAACCAUGUUGUGGGUGGUGGAAUUUAGGGUAAUAACACGAUUGCUAAUUAAUGUGGCUUACGUACUUGUAAUGAGGUCUUUGAUCCACUAACAAUGUGGAUAACAAAAGGUGCCGCCGUUGUUUAAAGCAAAUUGCUACCAUCUUUUUUGAUAACCGGCUGUCUGGCCAGCUUGCGCGUAACUCGAUUGAUUCUGGGAUCCUGAAGGUAAUGACCGGACAAACCUCCAGCGACUCUAAGGUUUGGAAUGUUUGGCUUCCGCGGAUUCGAACAAGCGACUUGAUAGAGGACAAACACUUAUUAGCUUGCUCAUGCCCAUUUAUUAGUCGAACCCCUUUUGAUUAAGGAUAUUGCAAUCUUUUAAAGACUUUUUGAGGGCAAAUAGAACACAUCAUCCUUAUCAU